UACGUAGGGUGCGAGCGUUAAUCGGAAUUACUGGGCGUAAAGCGUGCGCAGGCGGUUUUGUAAGUCAGAUGUGAAAUCCCCGGGCUUAACCUGGGAACUGCGUUUGAAACUAUAAGGCUAGAGUGUGGCAGAGGGGGGUGGAAUUCCACGUGUAGCAGUGAAAUGCGUAGAGAUGUGGAGGAACACCGAUGGCGAAGGCAGCCCCCUGGGUUAACACUGACGCUCAGGCACGAAAGCGUGGGGAGCAAACAGG
rnacentral:rRNA from 1 species